AUCCUAAAAGGAUUUGAUAUGCUUCAGCCAGGAAAAUGGUGGAAAUUUUCAUAUCUUAUCACCAUCGGUGUUUUGGGUUGUGUUGCUGCAGUGUUAGAAGCACGCGCAUGGUUUCUAGUUUUGAUAAGGAAGACCGAUCAAGCUGCAGAACAAAAUAAGGAUGACACGAGUGUAGUUUAAGGUAGUGUAAGAAGUGAUAAUUAGCUUUACAAUUGUAUUUACUUAUUUUCGUGUUAGUUAUUUACACUUUGUAUUUGUAAUACUCAUUUUUAAUUUCAAGGAUCAUAUAUAAUAUUUUUUGUUUUUGUUAAAGUACGUCUCAAUUUGAUGAUAUACGAAUGUCAACCAAUACCUAUAAAUUUAUUUUAACUAUUUUAACAUCGUUGGUUGGAAAUUACCUUCAAAUAGAAGCCCUUCUUCUCAAACCUGCUAAUGAUGUCACCAAUCUGCAACAAACAUGAACCUCUCAGAAAAUAUGAAAACUUUCACAUAAUUAAACAAUACGCACGAAUUGGAUUAAAAUAGUUUAUUGGAUUCUGUGUAAGAAAAAAACUAUGGCCGAAGUUACAAAGGACGGCCUUUGUUCACCCACUUCACACAUCCACAGAAGCAAGAUUAUGCAUGUAAAAUCCAACCACUACAUACUACAAAUAUUAAAACUUGAUGCAUGUAAAUAAAAACCUAAAAUCCCAGCUCAGGAGUGUUAAAAUUUGCUUGCUCCCCAGUCCACCAAAAAGAAAACCAACCCCUUCAAUUCCUAGGUUUUCCCACCAACCAAACACCAUACCAGUAACACUUGCUAUGAAAUUCGUAAACAAAAACAAGAACUUAGGCAAACCCACUCAAACACAGAUAAGAUUUUGCCCAGUAACUAAUUAAUUACUGUUUUUGCCAGCUCAGAAUUAUUGUUUUAUCUCUCUUUUGCCAGUAACUAAUUAAUUAAAAGGCUAAAACUAGUUGAAGGUGUCUUCCCCUUCAUUCCAGAAUUGGAAUAAACAAUUAUGUAUGCUUCUUUUGACAUCACCAAAGCCAUAAGGAUUAUGCAUAUGUACACUGCAAGCCUCCGAAAAAAGGUGUACAAAAUUUCAACCAAAAUUUUCUUUGAAUCUGUUGAAGAAGAUUUCAUUGGCCCGUACUAUUACCUCCUCCUCAAUAUCAAACUCAUUCACAUAGUCUAAAGUAGCGUCCACCCCUACAGUGCUAUUCCACUUGUACAGUCAAAAUAUUUAAAUGAAUAAAUAAAUUUAUAAGCAUGUAGUUGCAGAGCAGAAGAUGCAAGGAUUUUCUAAGUGACUUUAUUAGACAGUAACAUUAGGCUUCUAAUACUAGAAAGAAAUCAAUAAAGCAGAAAGGCAUGGGUGAGCAAGGCCCAAUUUUCCAGUCCUUCGACAACUAGGGUUUAGCAAUCAUCUUCACAUUCAUCAUACACAGAGGUUCCUCCGCACCCAUGAGAGACAAAGCUUCCCAUCUUAUACUAUUGCUCUGUCUCUCUUCUCUUCUUUUGCUCUCUCCGUGAAAUUACAUGGCAACCCGUUCGUACAAUUCUCUAUCUGUAUUUUUAUCUGUAAAUUUGAAUGCGUUUGUUUUUCUUCUUUGUGAAAAUUUGGUUUUGUUUUGAUGAUUUUACAGCGGUGGCAAGAUCCUCUCUUCAGGUGGCAGAGACAGAAGAGGUUGCUUCCCCUCUCAGAAUGUUCAGAUCGAAGGAUUGGUAACUCUCCAUGAUUCGCGUCUUUUCUCUGUUUUGCUGCUAGUAAAUUUUUGGAAAACUAUGCAUGCCUAAGUUGAUUAUAACUAUGGACACGACCCGCCCAGGCCACCUAGAUCCUCCCAGGCCGCCUAGGCGCCGCCUAGAUCCGCCCAGGCCGCCUAGACGCCGCCUAGAUCCUCCCAGGCCACCUAGAUCCUUCCAGGCCGCCAAGGCGCCGCCUAGAUCCUUUCAGGCCGCCUAGGCACCGCCUAGAUCCUUCCAGGCCGCCUAACUCCCUGGCGUAGGUGUCCUCCCGCCUAGUGCCUAGGCCGAUUUUUCGAACACUGCUUGAAACCUGGCACGGGCUUGCUCUGUGUCCUAGACGUUCGUAGUGACGAGUUCGAGUCCUCUAUCCGUGGCUACCAUGGCGUCCAAUUAACGUAUGUUUCUGAUUUUGCAAUUUUGUUUGUUUGUUUACAUGGAAAAGGAUUAUCAGAGCUAAA
rnacentral:lncRNA from 1 species